rnacentral:rRNA from 1 species
UGAAUACGAGACGCUAAGGCGUCGAAGUAGUGUAUGUCAUACUUCCAAGAAAAGCUUGCACUGUCAUAGAUAAAAAACGCCUGUACCAUAACCGACACAGGUGGGUAGGUAGAGUAUACUAAGGGGCGCGAGAUAACUCUCUCUAAGGAACUCGGCAAAAUAACUCCGUAACUUCGGGAGAAGGAGUGCCUUAUUCGUAAGGUUGCAAUAACAAGAUCCAAGCAACUGUUUAUCAAAAACACAGGUCUCCGCUAAGUCGUAAGACGAUGUAUGGGGGCUGACGCCUGCCCAGUGCCAGAAGGUUAAAGAAGUUGGUUAGCAAUUGCGAAGCUGAUAACUGAAGCCCUGGUGAACGGCGGCCGUAACGAUAACGGUCCUAAGGUAGCGAAAUUCCUUGUCGGGUAAGUUCCGACCCGCACGAAAGGCGUAAUGAUUUGGAUACUGUCUCGGAGAGGGGCUCGGUGAAAUAGACUUGUCUGUGAAGAUGCGGACUACCUGCACCAGGACAGAAAGACCCUAUGAAGCUUUACUGUAACUUGAAAUUGAAAUUGGACUUUAUUCGCGCAGCAUAGGUGGGAGGCGUUGAUUAUAAUCUUGCGGGAUUAUUGGAGCCAUCAGUGAGAUACCACUCUUGUAAUGUUAGAUUUCUAACUUUGAAUCAUUAUCUGGUCAAAGAACAGUUUCAGGCGGGCAGUUUGACUGGGGCGGUCGCCUCCUAAACGGUAACGGAGGCGUACAAAGGUUUCCUCUGAACGGUUAGAAAUCGUAUCUAGAGUGUAAAGGCAUAAGGAAGCUUGACUGUGAGACCUACAAGUCGAGCAGGGACGAAAGUCGGUCUUGGUGAUCUGACGGUACUGAGUGGAAAGGCCGUCACUCAACGGAUAAAAGUUACUCUAGGGGUAACAGGCUGAUCUCCCCCAAGAGUUCACAUCGACGGGGAGGUUUGGCACCUCGAUGUCGGCUCAUCGCAUCCUGGGGCGGUAGUACGUCCCAAGGGUUGGGCUGUUCGCCCAUGAAAGCGGUACGCGAGCUGGGUUCAGAACGUCGUGAGACAGUUCUGUCCAUAUCCGGUGUAGGCGUUAGAAUAUUGAGAGGAGCCUUCUUUAGUACGAGAGGACCGAGAAGGACAUACCUCUGGUGUACCAGUUAUCGUGCCAACGGUAAACGCUGGGUAGCUAUGUAUGGAGUGGAUAACCGCUGAAAGCAUCUAAGUGGGAAGCCCACCUCAAGAUAAG